CAGAAUAUGAUGGAACUCCAGAGCUAUGGUUUGCCAUCAUGCUUUAUUGUCUCCAACUGCCUCCCUUUGGCAGCAAUGGCAACAAUCAGAUCAUCGAAUUUCUCAGUCUUCCCCAGCAAUACCUCAAUCUAUAACAAUGUUGACAAGGGAACAUGAUAGGCAACAACCCAAGUUGGGCUUACUCUUCUCAAUAGCCAGACCUUUUUUCUUCAGAAUCUCUGCAACUGUGAGGGCCGCUGUGAGCGUUGAGGUAGAAAAAACAAGCAAGUUGAGCUAACAUAAUGGUGAUAAUAAAUAACUUAAGAAUGCUAUUGAAUCUCAUAACCUUUAUAAAUGAUUUGAACCCAUUUAUUUGGUUCUGUUAAUCAUGUUAAUAACCUAUGAGGAUU